rfam:Gossypium hirsutum cultivar TM-1 chromosome 7, whole genome shotgun sequence
UGUUAAAAUUUUCCCUCCAUUCCUACUGAUAAAAACUGACUUGAUUGACUAAAUAACCAAAUAGUUACACAUGGCGUGCUAUGUGUACCUCAUGUUGAUGUACGAGGACUAAUUUUUAACAAUAGAAAUAGAUGAAAGUUUUAACA